rnacentral:tRNA from 1 species
GCUUGGUCGUCAAGGCCGUGACCGGCUGGCUGGUAGGCGGCCUGGAGGAUGGCGUGUUUCGCUUCGUUCGAACCGAGGCCGGGCA